GUCACAUAGGUUUUAAUCCCCACAUGCAUUAGGUAUUUGUCUUAAAGCUCUCCCUCCUCUUGCCCCCCACCCCCCAACAGGCCCCGGUGUGUGACGUCCCCCUCCCUGUGUCCGUGUGUUCUCAUUGUUCAGCUCCCACUUAUGAGUGAGAUCACAGCGGCUCUCAGGAACAAGGGUGACUGUCUGGUGUGGAGUUGUGCUACCACAGCGAAGGGAACUUUAAAACGUGGAACUGCCAUGUAGAAGCUCAGGAAAUAUACAUAGUCUGUCAUCUCUUUUGGCCAUAGAAG